rnacentral:rRNA from 1 species
UAAUACGUAGGGUGCGAGCGUUGUCCGGAAUUAUUGGGCGUAAAGGGCUCGUAGGCGGUUUGUCGCGUCGGGAGUGAAAACACUGGGCUUAACUCAGUGCUUGCUUCCGAUACGGGCAGACUAGAGGUAUUCAGGGGAGAACGGAAUUCCUGGUGUAGCGGUGAAAUGCGCAGAUAUCAGGAGGAACACCGGUGGCGAAGGCGGUUCUCUGGGAAUGUCCUGACGCUGAGGAGCGAAAGUGUGGGGAGCGAACAGGAUUAGAUACCCUGGUAGUCCACACCGUAAACGUUGGGCGCUAGGUGUGGGAUCCAUUCCACGGGUUCCGUGCCGCAGCUAACGCAUUAAGCGCCCCGCCUGGGGAGUACGGCCGCAAGGCUA